ACAUACGACCACAGCCGCUAGAAAGCUUAGGAUCCCGUCCGAUCUCCCACGAGAACCUAGUGAGCGCUGGAUUAGUAGCUAGGUCGGUGACGACUAGCGAACACCUAGUGUUGUAUGUG
rnacentral:rRNA from 1 species